rnacentral:rRNA from 1 species
AUUGAACGCUGGCGGCAGGCCUAACACAUGCAAGUCGAACGAGUGGCGGACGGGUGAGUAAUGUCUGGGAAACUGCCUGAUGGAGGGGGAUAACUACUGGAAACGGUAGCUAAUACCGCAUACCAUCAGAUGUGCCCAGAUGGGAUUAGCUAGUUGGUGGGGUAAAGGCUCACCAAGGCGACGAUCCCUAGCUGGUCUGAGAGGAUGACCAGCCACACUGGGACUGAGACACGGUCCAGACUCCUACGGGAGGCAGCAGUGGGGAAUAUUGCGCAAUGGGCGCAAGCCUGAUGCAGCCAUGCCGCGUGAAUGAAGAAGGCCUUCGGGUUGUAAAGUUCUUUCAGCAGGGAGGCGUUAACCGCAGAAGAAGCACCGGCUAACUCCGUGCCAGCAGCCGCGGUAAUUC